ensembl:lncRNA
AUUUAUAUUAAACGGAAAACAAGGUGAUUAAUUACUCUUCUACUUUGCAGUCAAACACGGUUCUCUUCAUCAAGAUUGUCAUCACUCUGAACACAACUCUCAAAAAUCUCAAUGCUGAAGUUUCACAGAUGAAGCAAACCAAGAUUAUGGUGUUUAAAACACUGGGCCAGUUUGUGGUUCUUGGUUGCUCCUGGAUUCUGGGUUUCUUCACUAAUGGCAGUAAGGUGCUGGAGAUCCUCUUCCUGAUCUUGAACUCCCAGCAGGGAACCUUCAUCUUCCUGAUCUACUGUGUCCUCAAUAAUGAGGUCAGGCAGCAGUACAGGAAGUUCUUCAGAUGUUUUUGCUGUGCCAAACAACACUGAGGACCACAGCAUCAUGUUCAGGAAGUAAUACAUUCUGCUCAAGUGUCAUUAAUAUACAGCUGAUUUUAUAUAACAGAAUCUAUGUUUUUACGAUAAAUGUUAUAGUCUCAGAUCCUUUCUACAAAUGAAAGAAAAACAUGUUAUCCGAG